rnacentral:other from 1 species
CACCGGCGGUUCGAUGCGAGACCCGAGGUGAAUCUGUCUCCUACAUCUGCUAUCCAGGGAUCUGCCUCUGAUUCGGGAGUGCACGCCCGCUCGUCGGGAAGCCCAAAGAUUUAUGUGGAGCCCACCUACGCACAAGCGUAGGGGAUAGAAAACCUCACGGUCGAACGGUCGUGCU